UUUAAAGAAAAUGGCGACAGCAUUUUCAACUGCAACUUAUCCAUUGAAAUCCGGCUAUUUGAAGAAUAAUUGUCUCAUCAAUUAUCAUCAACUACGAAUAGCUGAUGCAGGCCAAUUCUCCAACGAGAUGUGGCAUUGUUGCUGUUAAAAAAGAAGAUAGUUGAGAAUAAUGUCGAAAGAAAUGGAUGAAUCGUCUGAGGAGGAAGAGACGGAAGCAGCACUUGAAGAACGGGAUGAAAGCGAUAAGCUGCUCUUCUUUGCUCGUUUCCAGUUAUCCUGAUUUUCUACUUGGUGAUCUUCAGUCUAUUUUCAGAAACUGAAGGAUGACCUAAAACAAGAUCAAUUGGCAAUCCCAUGUCGUCACCGAACAUCAUUUUAUAUGGGGUGUGAUCUGUAGCAGAGUGAACAGAUGACCUGAUGCCAUCAAGCAGAAAUAGCGAUUCAAUGAUGCGUGACGGGAACGAUCCAAUCAUGCAAGACCGGACACAAUAGCAGAAGAUUUUGAUGUUCAUUGUCAUAAUAAAUAAACAACAAAA